rnacentral:lncRNA from 1 species
GGCUUGAUAUUCUUGAUAAUCCUGGUAGUUGUUAGCCUCAACAUAGCCAUAGUUCGGUUGGUCUCUCCAAUAUGGACUGUAUGUGUUAUAGUAUGGAUCAUGCCUUGGCUGUUCAUAGUAUCCUCCAAAUGUAUGUCUAGGCUGGUCAUACUCAUAACGUGUAGAACAUUAAUUAGUUGGAUAUCCUACGUAUGCAUAAUUCCCACAUGGUGUUGGUAGCUGAGAUGCUUGAACCUGUUGCACUAUGUCUAUGGCAAGGUCUUUCAUAAAAGAUGUCAGAAAAGAAAAAUCAGAUCUACUUACCU